UCAACCCUUACUUUAAAAAUCUGACACUGC
rnacentral:piRNA from 1 species